CCUACGGGGGGCUGCAGUAAGGAAUAUUGGUCAAUGGACGAAAGUCUGAACCAGCCAUGCCGCGUGAAGGAUUAAGGCCCUCUGGGUUGUAAACUUCUUUUAUCUGGGACGAAAAAAGGGUAUUCUUACUCACUUGACGGUACCAGAGGAAUAAGCACCGGCUAACUCCGUGCCAGCAGCCGCGGUAAUACGGAGGGUGCAAGCGUUAUCCGGAUUUACUGGGUUUAAAGGGUGCGUAGGUGGGUUUGUAAGUCAGUGGUGAAAUCUCCGAGCUUAACUCGGAAACUGCCAUUGAUACUAUAGAUCUUGAAUUAUCUGGAGGUAAGCGGAAUAUGUCAUGUAGCGGUGAAAUGCUUAGAUAUGACAUAGAACACCAAUUGCGAAGGCAGCUUACUACGGAUAUAUUGACACUGAGGCACGAAAGCGUGGGGAUCAAACAGGCUUAGAUACCCCUGUAGUC
rnacentral:rRNA from 1 species